CAUCAAAAAGUCUACAAAUAAUAAAUGCUGGAGAAGGUGUGGAGGAAAAGGAACCUUGCUACACUGUUGGUGGGAAUGCAAAUUGGUGCAGCUACUAUGGAGUACAGUGUGGAGGUUCCCUUAAAAACUACAAGUAGGGGCUUCCCUGGUGGCGCAGUGGUUGAGAGUCC